GGAGUAGCGUUGCUGGAUUCAGGGUUGUAGGUGGCUUGAAUAAAAUUCUGGUGGGGUUCAGCAGUAGGCUCUGAUAGGUUCAGCUGUAGGGUCAGACGAGCAUUGCUGAUCCAGCGGUCUGGGGCUAUUUGAGUACCCCUUCAAUAGCAUGUGGGGUGGUAACAUAUAGCUCUUGCCCCAUGGCUAGCCUGUCUGCAUCCUUGACCAUAGUGGCCACCGUGGCAAUAAUUUUUAAGCAUGGGGGCCAUCCAGCGGCCACCGUGUCCAGCUUUUUAGAGAGAUAAGCUAUGGGUCUUUUCCAGGGACCUAUGUACUGGACAAGGACCCCUUCUGCCACCCCAUCUUUCUCGUCUACAUACAGGUAGAAGGGCUUGGUUAGGUCAGGCAACCUGAGAGCCGAGGCAGACAGCAAGGCCUGUUUAAGGUCAUUAAAGGCCUUGUUCAUGGCCUCUGUCCAUUCAAAAUUUUGUUGGUGCCUGGUGGCCUCAUAGAGGAGUAUGGCCAUCUCGGCAAAACCCGGAAUCCAUAAUCGACAGAACCCUGCCAACCCCAGGAAUUCGUACCUGAUGGACGGUUUGCGGCUGUGGGAUCCUCAGGACGGUUUCCUUCUGCGCAUCCGUCAACCAUCUUUGUCCAUCCUUUAAUUUGUACCCCAGGUAGCUCACCUCUGCUUUGCAGAUUUGGGCCUUUUUGGCUGAGGCCCGGUAUCCUAGAACCGCUACAGUCUGGAGUAAGUCCUUGGUGCCUCGCAGGCAAGUGUCCUGGUCCUCUGCCGCCAGCAGGAUAUCAUGUACAUAUUGCAAUAAGGUCAAAUGAGGGUGCUCAGAACGGAACUCACCCAAGUCUUCGUGUAAGGCCUCAUCGAAGAUGGUUGGACAGACUUCCGAGCUUCCACCUGUAUUCGUUCUCUCUUCGGUGGUGAAGAGAACCUGCAAGAGCUGCUGACAGUCAUCCCAAGUAGGCUGGUGGGUAAAGAGAACAGUAUCUAAAAGCCCAAUUAAAUCUUUAGGGUUAUCGGAGAACUUUGCAUUUUGAGUUCUCCAAUUAUAUAAAUCACUGGUGGAGAACGGCCAAUAUAACAUUGGUUGUUUUCCAGACUCGUCAGGAGGCCCCAUGGCGCGGAGGGGAAGGGCGGUGGAGUCGGCCGGCCCCAUAUUUGAGGGUGGGGCCGCCCGGUGGGUCCAUCCAUGUGUCCCUGCUGCUGGCCCACGCACAGGAAUUCCUUCGUCAGGGAGGGGUGGUGCCCCUCCUGCAGCCCCUGGUGCUUCCAAUGGAGGGGCAGAAGGGAGAGGGAGAGCCUGGUAGGGCAGUGGAUGAAUCAGGUCCUCCGGAGAGGAAUCCUGCAAGACCAGAUAAAGGGGCGUUUUGGCCUUUGUGUCAGUCUCCUUCUCGGCUUUCCGCAGGGCUAGAAUCUUGGUAGGUCCUGUUUUGGAGGGUAAGAAUGGUUUUAGCCAAGAAGGGGGGUUUUCAAUCAUAUCCUGCCAGACCAGGAUGUAGAGCACCUGGUCAGGGUAGCCAUCUGGUUUGUCCUCGAAGAUUACAGCCUUGACCUGCAAAAUAAUAGGUAGGUGGAAAGUUCCUUCUUGGGGCCAUCCCACGUCAAAAGUUGGCCAUUCUGACAUGCAGUAAGUCUGAAAUUUCCCUUUUCUUAUGUCUGUGCUCAAAUUAUGAGCCCUUUCCUUAACGUCCAAGAAGUGGGAGAGCAUAAGAGACAGGGUGGUUUGGGUCCGCCCCAUUUCAAUCCACACCAAGACACAAACAGUUAUGACGAUUAACAAGGACACAAUAACACAGACAAACGUUCCAGUGCGGCCGCAGAGACAAAACAGAAAGUAAAACGAAGGGCUGGCUGUCCAUAAUGGCAGCCGGCCCUCCUCACAGAUGAGGACUUUGUCCUCCUGGCAGGGGCAAGGGACGUCUCCCAAGACCCCCGGUCGACGGCUCGCCAGCGCGUCCGCUUAAGUCAAUGCCGACCCAAAGACAGUUUGGAAUUCCUACAGGUACUUUGAGGCUUUAUUAUUAGUUGUGUAAAACUCAGGGUUGUUGUGUCCUCUUGAUGAAUUGAUCCCUUUAUCAUCUAAUCUGGUGUUAGCUAUUUGCCCUACCUACCUCAUGUCUGUUAUGGAAAAAGAACAAAAGAACAGUUUGGAAAGUAUACAGCAAACAGAAGUGUCCUUUCUAGCAAUGAAGCAUGAUGGAACAGGCACUCAGUUAAGUCUGAAAAAUAAGACUGCAUGUGAAGAAUUUUGAAACUAUAGCCCCACGACCUACUUGCAGGCAGGAGUUCUGAGACAGAGAAGACCAUGUGAAGACAGAGCAGGAAGAGCUGAGGCCACAAGAUGAGACUGACAACCAGAAGCUGGAAGAGGCAAGGAAGGGACUCCACCCUCGGGCCUCCAGAGAGGGCUCAACACCUUGACUGCAGAUUUUUGGCCUACAGAGUUGUAAGAAUAAAUUCCUAUUGUUUGA